rnacentral:rRNA from 9 species
AAAUUGAAGAGUUUGAUCAUGGCUCAGAUUGAACGCUGGCGGCAGGCCUAACACAUGCAAGUCGAACGGUAACAGGAAGCAGCUUGCUGCUUCGCUGACGAGUGGCGGACGGGUGAGUAAUGUCUGGGAAACUGCCUGAUGGAGGGGGAUAACUACUGGAAACGGUGGCUAAUACCGCAUAACGUCGCAAGACCAAAGAGGGGGACCUUCGGGCCUCUUGCCAUCAGAUGUGCCCAGAUGGGAUUAGCUUGUUGGUGAGGUAACGGCUCACCAAGGCGACGAUCCCUAGCUGGUCUGAGAGGAUGACCAGCCACACUGGAACUGAGACACGGUCCAGACUCCUACGGGAGGCAGCAGUGGGGAAUAUUGCACAAUGGGCGCAAGCCUGAUGCAGCCAUGCCGCGUGUAUGAAGAAGGCCUUCGGGUUGUAAAGUACUUUCAGCGGGGAGGAAGGUGUUGUGGUUAAUAACCGCAGCAAUUGACGUUACCCGCAGAAGAAGCACCGGCUAACUCCGUGCCAGCAGCCGCGGUAAUACGGAGGGUGCAAGCGUUAAUCGGAAUUACUGGGCGUAAAGCGCACGCAGGCGGUCUGUCAAGUCGGAUGUGAAAUCCCCGGGCUCAACCUGGGAACUGCAUUCGAAACUGGCAGGCUUGAGUCUUGUAGAGGGGGGUAGAAUUCCAGGUGUAGCGGUGAAAUGCGUAGAGAUCUGGAGGAAUACCGGUGGCGAAGGCGGCCCCCUGGACAAAGACUGACGCUCAGGUGCGAAAGCGUGGGGAGCAAACAGGAUUAGAUACCCUGGUAGUCCACGCCGUAAACGAUGUCUACUUGGAGGUUGUGCCCUUGAGGCGUGGCUUCCGGAGCUAACGCGUUAAGUAGACCGCCUGGGGAGUACGGCCGCAAGGUUAAAACUCAAAUGAAUUGACGGGGGCCCGCACAAGCGGUGGAGCAUGUGGUUUAAUUCGAUGCAACGCGAAGAACCUUACCUGGUCUUGACAUCCACAGAAGAAUCCAGAGAUGGAUUUGUGCCUUCGGGAACUGUGAGACAGGUGCUGCAUGGCUGUCGUCAGCUCGUGUUGUGAAAUGUUGGGUUAAGUCCCGCAACGAGCGCAACCCUUAUCCUUUGUUGCCAGCGGUCCGGCCGGGAACUCAAAGGAGACUGCCAGUGAUAAACUGGAGGAAGGUGGGGAUGACGUCAAGUCAUCAUGGCCCUUACGACCAGGGCUACACACGUGCUACAAUGGCGCAUACAAAGAGAAGCGACCUCGCGAGAGCAAGCGGACCUCAUAAAGUGCGUCGUAGUCCGGAUUGGAGUCUGCAACUCGACUCCAUGAAGUCGGAAUCGCUAGUAAUCGUGGAUCAGAAUGCCACGGUGAAUACGUUCCCGGGCCUUGUACACACCGCCCGUCACACCAUGGGAGUGGGUUGCAAAAGAAGUAGGUAGCUUAACCUUCGGGAGGGCGCUUACCACUUUGUGAUUCAUGACUGGGGUGAAGUCGUAACAAGGUAACCGUAGGGGAACCUGCGGUUGGAUCACCUCCUUA